UCAACCUCAGCCUCCCUCUCUUUGCGACUUUGCUUGUAUCGAAACUAUCGACUAUCGACCUCAGCCCCAAAACUUCAGAUCUGAUGAAAUCUCCCUCUCACUCUCUCAGUCCCUCCCUCACCAGAAAUCUGAGUUCAACCCGGUCCCAGUGAGUUGUGUAUCUCUCUCUCCGGUCUCCAUUACCAGCUCCUGCUCGGCUGCUCCGGUCUCGAGUUACCCACCAGAAAUCUGAGUUCUUCCUCUCUGCCUAGUUACCCACCACCGCUCCGCCAUUCACAGAGAGAGAGAGAGAGAGAGACGAUGAUACCGCAGCAAUGGGGUCCUCCUUGCAAUCACGAAUGCACGCACAAGUACGCAGCCCUUAUGCAGAUUCCAUGUCAUAUGCCUGUUGAUUUUGGUUGCUGAUUUGCUGGCUUAUGUUCUCUAUUUGUCUCCAGUUGCCUUUGAUUCUCUCCCUUUACGGGUUGCUCCAUAUAUCAGAGUCAUCGAUCUUUUUCAUAUUGAACUUUAGAUUUGUGCAGUUGUCGAGUUGUCAUGGAGGUUUGGACUUGUGGAGCAAGGCAGCAGGCCGAGCAAGGCAGCAACAAGGCGUUUGUGCACUUGUGGACAGUUUGACUUUGUGCAAAACUGCAAAUUGUGUUUAUGCAUUUGGAUUGUUUAAUUUCUGUUGGACAAUUUGGAUUGUUUAAUUUCUGUUGGACAAUGUAUUCUGACUCUUGAGUUUGUGUUGUAAAGUGUAAAC